AUGGUGGACUGUCAAGACAAUGUGCUUAGUGCCAGAGUGAACGAAAACAUAGGUGAUUUUGUGGAUGAAGUGCAUAACAGAGAUGUUGGGGUUGUUAGUUCUCCUAAAAGGGAUGUUGCAAUGUUUGAAGGGGAUACAGAUUUUGAGCCACGCAAUGGCAUUGAAUUUGAAUCACAUGAGGCAGCAUACUCAUUCUAUCAAGAAUAUGCCAAAUCUAUGGGAUUCACUACUUCAAUUAAAAACAGCCGUCGCUCAAAGAAAUCAAAAGAAUUUAUUGAUGCUAAAUUUGCAUGUUCCAGAUACGGAGUCACUCCAGAAUCAGAUAGUGGGAGUAGUCGGCGACCAAGUGUGAAAAAGACAGACUGCAAAGCCAGCAUGCAUGUGAAGAGAAGGGCAGAUGGGAAGUGGAUUAUUCAUGAAUUCAUAAAAGAGCAUAAUCAUGAACUUUUACCUGCUUUAGCAUAUCAUUUUCGGAUUCACAGAAAUGUAAAGUUAGCUGAAAAGAAUAAUAUUGACAUUUUGCAUGCUGUUAGUGAACGGACAAGAAAGAUGUAUGUUGAAAUGUCUAGGCAAUCUGGUGGAUAUCAAAAUCUUGGGUUUCUUCAGGGUGACAUAAAUUAUCAGUUUGAUAAAGGCCGUUACUUGACUUUGGAUGAAGGAGACGCCCAAGUUAUGCUUGAGUACUUUAAGCGUAUCCAAAAGGAGAAUCCGAACUUCUUUUAUGCAAUGGAUUUGAAUGAAGAGCAGCGUUUGAGAAAUCUGUUUUGGGUUGAUGCCAAAAGUAGACAUGAUUACAUCAGUUUUAGUGAUGUUGUUUCUUUUGAUACCUCCUAUAUCAAAAGCAAUGAUAAAUUGCCAUUUGCUCCUUUUGUUGGGGUGAACCAUCACUUCCAGUCCAUGUUGUUUGGAUGUGCAUUGGUUGCAGAUGAGACCAGAUCAACAUUUGUCUGGUUAAUGAAGACGUGGCUUAGGGCAAUGGGUGGGCAAGCUCCCAAAGUGAUAAUCACUGAUCAAGACAAAGCCUUGAAGGCAGCCAUUGAGGAAGUCUUCCCAAAUACACGCCAUUUCUUUUCUCUUUGGAAUAUAUUGGAAAAGAUCCCUGAAACUCUAGCUCAUGUGAUAAAACAGCAUGAGAAUUUUUUGCCAAAGUUUAACAAGUGCAUUCUCAAGUCAUGGACAGACGAACAGUUUGACAUGAGGUGGUGGAAAAUAGUUACUAGAUUUGAACUUCAAGAUGAUGAAUGGAUACAGUCAUUGUAUGAAGAUCGAAAAAAGUGGGUGCCUAUUUAUAUGGGGGAUUCUUUUUUAGCUGGAAUGUCUACACCUCAGCGUUCUGAAAGUAUGAAUGCUUUCUUUGACAAGUACAUUCAUAAGAAAAUUACUCUCAAAGAGUUUGUGAAACAAUACGGGACAAUCCUACAAAAUAGGUAUGAAGAGGAAGCCAUAGCAGAUUUCGAUACAUGGCACAAACAGCCUGCAUUAAAAUCUCCUUCGCCUUGGGAAAAACAAUUGUCAACAGUGUACACUCAUGCAAUUUUUAAGAAAUUCCAAGUUGAGGUUUUGGGCGUAGUUGGCUGCCAUCCUAAAAAAGAAAGUGAAGAUGGAACAACUACUACUUUUAGGGUUCAAGAUUGUGAGAAGGAUGAAUAUUUUAUGGUAUUGUGGAAUGAAACAAGGUCAGAGGUUUCUUGUUUCUGUCAUUUGUUUGAAUACAAAGGUUUCCUUUGUAGACAUUCGAUGAUUGUUCUCCAAAUUUGUGGUCUUUCAAGCAUUCCACCCCAUUAUAUUUUGAAGAGGUGGACAAAAGAUGCAAAGAACAGGGAAACAGUGGUUGAAGGAACAGAAAGGAUGCAGACUAGGGUGCAGCGUUACAAUGAUUUAUGUAAAAGAGCCAUUGAAUUGAGUGAAGAGGGAUCAUUAUCUGAAGAGAGCUAUAGUAUUUCUUUUCGGGCACUAGUAGAAGCUCUGAAGAAUUGUGUGAAUGUGAAUAACAUUUCGAUUAGUGCUGCAGAAUCUAGUGGCAAUGGUCUUGUUCUUCGUGAAGAAGAGGAGAGUCGAGGAAGCUUAGGAGCUAAAACAACUAAGAAGAAAAGUGCAUAUAAGAAAAGAAAGGUUAGUUCUGAUGUUGAUGGUUCAUGUGCUUAUAUUUUUAUUUCUUGUAAUGUUUCUAUUACUAAAUGUAUUUUUAAAAAAAGAAAAAAGAUUUGAAUAAUGCCUCUAUAUUCUAAUUCCAGGUACCAGUAGAGCCAGAUGUUCUACUUGUUGAGCCACAAGACAGCUUACAACAGAUGGUUUGUCUAAUCUUCAUUCUGGUUAUGAUCUAAUUACAAUGAUUAAACGGAAUGCUUUAGGAUCAUAAUAAAAAUGAUAUUACAAAUAAAAUCAAAUUUGACCCAUUCUGUAUCAGGAACACCUAGUGCUGCAAAUUUUUUCAAAUUCUAAAUAUAAAAUUUCAAAUCUUGUUGGAAAUGGGGCUAAAUACAUAGUUGUGAUCGAAAAGAAGUGAAAAGAGUUGUGCAUUUUUUUGGUUGCUUGGGACAAUAGAAGUUCUGCAUCUACCUGCACUGAUUUAACUGAUCAAUUUCUCUUGGGCUUUCAUUCUUGUAGGAUAAUCUAAGCUCAGAUGGGAUGACCCUUACUGGAUAUUAUGGUGCCCAACAGAACGUGCAAGGACUGGUACAUAUUAUUACCUUGGGCUAUUUUACAUAAUCCAGGGUUUUGCAGUUAUUGUAAAAAACGUACUGAUGUUAAUUAUGAUACUUGUACAUGGUAGCAGUUGAACUUAAUGGAGCCACCUCAUGAUGGGUACUAUGUAAAUCAACAUAGCAUCCAGGGGCUGGUAAGUCAUGAUAAAUUUAAUACCAUGAUAUAUAUAUUUUUUCAUAAGUAACCAUUGUAUGUGUUUUUUUUUUUAAAUAUAUAUUUUUUAACAUAAUGAUUUAUAUGCUUGUAGGGUCAAUUGAAUUCAAUAGCACCUAGCCAUGAUGGUUUUUUUGGGACUCAACAAAGCAUGCAUGGGCUGGUAUAGUAUUUAUAAUCACAUGAUAAAUUUGUAGAGAAAUAUGGUUAAUGUAAAUGUCAUUCAUGUGAUGAGACUUCCUUAAUUAUGCUUUCAUUCAAUUAGGGGCAGUUGGAUUUUCGACCCCCAGCAAAUUUCAGUUAUAGCCUUCAGGUUAGUUUGCAACAUGGGGCAGUUAUAUUGAUUGAACUGCACUUUUUCAGACAUGGUUUUACUAAUUUGUGUUUCUAACACUAGUUGCAGGAUGAGCCCCAUUUAAGAACUACACAGUUGCACGGCAGUGCUUCGAGGCAUGCAUGAGGAAGAAACAUCUUCCAUGUUGGCUGCAGUGAUAGUUGCCUCAUGGAGGUGGCUAAAUCCAUACCCAAUGUUAUGUUGGGUAAUUGGAAUGGUAAAUCCAUGAAGUGGUUCCAGAUCCUUCACCACUUCAGUUUCCUGUUCGGAUAAAAAAGAAGCCAAAUGCAUUAACAAUUGAAGGUAAAAGAUUUCCUGUAUAUUUACGGGGGGAAAGUUACUUUGCGGAAUUUAAGCUGUGGUUAUAUUUAUUCCCCAGAAAUGACAUAAGAAAGGAAAGACAAAAUAAUCCUAUUUUAUGCCCCAUAGUUUAGCUGUGCUGAAAUCACAAUUCACAACUUGAGGGCAGGACCAGAUUACUCCUGCCGCAGGAGUAAUCUAGAUCAAUUUAGUGGAUCCAUCUCUUUUAAGGAACAGAAUGCUUGUAAGCCAUUAGAAGAAUAAAAUUAAUGCUUUUCGUGGAGAAACAUACUUCUAAUGGCUGAGAUGCAAAUGAUGUCUUUGCCUGGGUGCCAAUUUAAAGAAAAUACUUUUCCUUGUCCUUGUGCACUGUAGAAUUACUGCAAACGGCUCUUUGUAAAUGCUCCAUGUAUCAUUAUGUUUGAAAUUUAUUCAGUUCUGUGGAUAAGAUCUGCUCCUGCCCCUGUCAAUCUUCGCUGGAUUGUAUCGGCAAUCUGUUCUGUAAGAUGUGUAUGUUCAUGCAGGAAGUGGCAAAAUGGACAUGUUUUUGUUCUUGAAGUUCCUCAGUUUCCCCUAGUGGAAAUCAGUUAUUAAAAGCGGAAUACGAUGUUUUGUAUAAUCCUUUUUCUGAUUAAUAUCUUUCUCAUUUUUUAAGGUUUGAAAUUUUAGUUAGUAAUUAGUAAUGGGUUUUUUUUUUUGGUCCAGAAUACUAA
rnacentral:sRNA from 1 species